AUUUUUAGUCUUAAAA
rnacentral:sRNA from 1 species